ensembl:lincRNA 1700047F07Rik RIKEN cDNA 1700047F07 gene
ACAGAGGCAGCAAGCCUCGGAGACAACGGAGACAACGAUCACCUCAGAUCACGCCACCUCAGGAAACAGCUGAAAAUAGAGGCGAACCCAGCAUGUUAGUGGGUCAGAAGACUGUGAUGACGUGGGCACAAGCAUGCCACGUGACUGCGAUGACGUAGCACGCAAGCACACCACAUGGCUGAGAUGACAAAGCACGCAGGCACGCCGUGUAGCUGAGGUGACAAAGCAUGCCUGCCCCCAAUGAUUCAUCUUAUUGCUUGUCAACAUUGGAACAGCACCUCGCACAUAAGCCAUGCCACCUUUCGCAGUUAGUGCAUCUCUUGACACAUAAAUACGGUUACUAACUCAGAGACUGGGAAAGCCCCGAGGCUACCGUUCACCUUAUAGACCUGCAGCCAUGGAGAAAGAAGGCUUUCUUUCAGCAACAUGUGGGCUGCCCCUAGAGGAGCCUGAGAGCAAUCAGAAGGGUGAA